rnacentral:rRNA from 1 species
CGGUCCAGACUCCUACGGGAGGCAGCAGUAGGGAAUUUUCCCCAAAGGGCGAAAACCCGACGGAGCAACGCCGCGUGAGUGAUGAAGGUCUUCGGAUCGUAAAACUCUGUUGUUAGGGAAGAACAAAUUUGUUAGUAACCUGGUGCCGAGUCUUGAGGUCCCUUAUCCAGAGAGCCACGCUUAUUUACGUGCCAGCAGCCGCGGUAA